GAGCCCAACUGACCACACAAGUAUUCCAUCCAACUGCUACAGUGCGCUGGGAUCCUAACCUGCCCUCUCUGGGAACCGGGGAAAUGUGUCCUAGAGCAAAUGUCACAUCCCAGACCCCAGCUGGUUUGUGCAUGUAUUCACAGCUGUCACUUUAUUUCUGUGCCAUUUGAAGGGGCAACCCCGAAAACGGACCCCCAAGUACUUUGUGCUCUUUCAGCUGCCUGUGUCUCUCUUCUUUGGCAUGUUUUCUAUAAGACUUUCUUUCAUAAACAGCAAAUGGACUGUUGUCGAGCCCAUCUCCUGGUUUGCACGGUGAAGGUGCUUAACGCCAGGAGCAGAGGCGGGGGCAAGCUCGAGGCUGUCUGGAGGCCAGGCCAGAGGCGGGGAGGAUGCGUGUUCUGCGGCAGCCCGAGGUCUGACUGGUAAGGAAAUAGAUCGGAGAUGGAUGGCUUUUCAUGCCUUUAUAGUUGGCCGUUUACAACUUUUCCUACUACGGCAGCCUUUUCUGCCAUAAUUCUUUGGAGGCAACAUAAUAUUUUGGAGUUUUAUGAAUUUGAUUUUAUACCAAUAAGAGAUCAAAGUUUUAGGGGUCUUUCCUGUAGUAUAUAGUUUUAGUCUUUUGAAGAGAUCUCUGGAUUUUAGGAGAGAACCAACUGUACUUGGUGGUAGACCUCCAAAAGGUGAUCUGGGGAGCCCUGCCCCCUCCUUUCUCUGCUCCCCACCCCUUCCCUUUGUAGGAUCUCAAAAAAGGAAAACAAGAAAAAAAGAGAUGAUUCUAGUUAUAGAUGUGUGUGGGUUUUGUUUUUGUUUUUUUAACCUUCCAUCAGGUUGACACUUAAGCUAUAUUUUAUAGAAUAAAUCCCCCUCUAGUAUGCUGCAUAUGAAUAUGAAGCUCAGAGCUGUUGCACUUUCUCUGUAAUCAAUGCCCUACAACUGGCUUGCCGGAAGCAUUUUCUUUUAACCUAACGUGUACUUUGGGCAGGUGAUGAAAUUACAUGGGUACCUCAAGUCAAGACCUGCGCGUGCUGCAUUUGGAUUUUUUAGUUUUGUUUUGUUUUGCUUUUCUAUGUAUCGUUAUGUUUUACUUUAUUUUGUUCCGGUAUUAUGCUUUUUGGACCCUAGUAGUCUGUUGGAAGAAAAACCUAAAAAGUUAGUAUCCUUGUUUUCUCGCCCCUACAGUAUGUGGUUCUAAAGGUCAUCCUCCAUUAGGAAUCUUUCCCCAAGCAUACCUGAGGAAAAGGGUACUUCGCUUCUCAGCGGGCCGUGCCAUUGAGAUCUUUUGUGUUCAUGCUGCUUCGAUUCCCUUCUCCAUAUCACCUAAGGGUGGGUACCUCCAUUGCAAAGUUGUGGCAUCUUAAUUUUUACACACAGACCUCAUGGAUGUCCAUUGAGGAAGUAGCAUGACCCUAAAGACACUGGCAGCCUGGCCUGGAGGUGGCGGCCUUCGCAGCUUUCUCUCUCAGCACUCAGCCACACUGACCUGGUCGGGCAGUCUGCAUGGACAGGACAGCUCAGCUGGUGAAGAAAGCCGGAUGCUCAGACACUGCACGUCUCCUGUCCUGAUUAAGCUUAGCUGGGUCCUUUCUAGUCUGUUUUCACAGCUUCCUAGGUUAAAUAGUUUGCACUAUUUUUGCAAUAAAUCCAUGGGAAACCUAACAGCUACUUAUGUUGUUGUUCUUACUGUGUGUAUAAACUAACACUAAAGGUUUGGAAUAGUGUUUUUUUUUUUCCUCCCACCUCAUGUAGCCCCUUAACAUGCACAGAAUGCUGUAAAUCUGAUAUAUGAUGUGAAUGAUAUUUUAUAAAGUUAUUUUGUAUGGUGUCGAUUUGUUUUGCCGCAUAGUAUGUCAGCAAGAAAUAAAAUAAAAUUCCUUGUAUUUAC
rnacentral:lncRNA from 1 species